AUUGAACGCUGGCGGCAGGCCUAACACAUGCAAGUCGAACGGUAACAGGAAGAAGCUUGCUUCUUUGCUGACGAGUGGCGGACGGGUGAGUAAUGUCUGGGAAACUGCCUGAUGGAGGGGGAUAACUACUGGAAACGGUAGCUAAUACCGCAUAACGUCGCAAGACCAAAGAGGGGGACCUUCGGGCCUCUUGCCAUCGGAUGUGCCCAGAUGGGAUUAGCUAGUAGGUGGGGUAACGGCUCACCAAGGCGACGAUCAGUAGCCGACCUGAGAGGGUGAUCGGCCACAUUGGAACUGAGACACGGUCCAA
rnacentral:rRNA from 1 species